rfam:Clostridium sp. CAG:62 genomic scaffold, scf183
CCGUGCAGCCGGGGAGAUAGCGGUGCCCUGUACCUGCAAUCCGCUAUAGCAGGGGUGUUGUCCCAUCGAGGGUCUUUUGACGGAGAGCUGCCCAAAGUAAGUGGCGUUGACACUUGGGUCUUGCGCAACAGGAACUUGUGAACCGUGUCAGGUCAGGAAUGAAGCAGCACUAAGCAAUCCUUCCUGUGUGACGCGAGGGUGCCUGAGCCUAGCUAACUGCUUUGGUAACGUCUUCUGAUUUUGAUUCGACAUGGGAUGCACGG